GGGGGGGGGGGGGGGGGGGGGGGGGGGGGGCGGGGGGGGGGGCGGCGCAGGAAGAGGUGGCGCGGACGGGUGGCGAGUGGCGGACGGGGGAGGAAUACAUCGGAAUCUACUUUUUCGUGGGGGAUAAGGUAGGGAAACUUACGCUAAUACCGCAUCCGACCUCCGGGUGAAAGCAGGGGAUCUUCGGACCUUGCGCGAUUGAAUGAGCCGAUGUCGGAUUAGCUAGUUGGCGGGGUAAAGGCCCACCAAGGCGACGCUCCGUAGCUGGUCUGAGAGGAUGAUCAGCCACACUGGAACUGAGACACGGUCCAGACUCCUACGGGAGGCAGCAGUGGGGAAUAUUGGACAAUGGGCGCAAGCCUGAUCCAGCCAUACCGCGUGGGUGAAGAAGGCCUUCGGGUUGUAAAGCCCUUUUGUUGGGAAAGAAAAGCAGCAGGUUAAUACCCCGCUGUUCUGACGGUACCCAAAGAAUAAGCACCGGCUAACUUCGUG
rnacentral:rRNA from 1 species